rnacentral:rRNA from 1 species
UACGUAGGGUGCAAGCGUUGUCCGGAAUUUAUUGGGCGUAAAGAGCUCGUAGGCGGUUUGUCGCGUCUGCUGUGAAAACUCGGGGCUUAACCCCGGGCCUGCAGUGGGUACGGGCAGACUAGAGUGCGGUAGGGGAGACUGGAAUUCCUGGUGUAGCGGUGAAAUGCGCGAUAUCAGGAGGAACACCGGUGGCGAAGGCGGGUCUCUGGGCCGUAACUGACGCUGAGGAGCGAAAGCAUGGGGAGCGAACAG